rnacentral:snoRNA from 1 species
GUGCCCCUUUAAGUGACGUAAGAGGCUAACACAGAAGGGCAAAUUCUCCGUAAAACCCAGAAAGGAGACUGUGUAAAACUCCUCUUGGAUCCUGUCUGAGUCACACUG